ACAGCCAUACUCUGUUGCAACACCUGUUCUCAUACAAUCACCAAAGUUAAGCAAUGUUGACUCUGGUCAGUAGUAAAAUGGGUGACCACUUGCGAAUAUCAGAUGCUGUAAG